rnacentral:rRNA from 1 species
UACGUAGGGAGCAAGCGUUGUCCGGAAUCAUUGGGCGUAAAGCGCGCGUAGGUGGCCCUAUAAGUCCGCUGUGAAAGUCAAAGGCUCAACCUUUGAAAGCCGGUGGAUAUUGUGGGACUAGAGUACGGAAGAGGCGAGUGGAAUUCCUGGUGUAGCGGUGGAAUGCGCAGAUAUCAGGAGGAACACCGGUGGCGAAGGCGGGUCUCUGGGCCGUAACUGACGCUGAGGAGCGAAAGCGUGGGGAGCGAACAGG